rnacentral:misc_RNA from 1 species
UCUCCGUUGGUGAACCAGCGGAGGGAUCAUUACCGAGUUUACAACUCCCAAACCCAAUGUGAACGUUACCAAACUGUUGCCUCGGCGGGGUCACGCCCCGGGUGCGUCUCAGCCCCGGAACCAGGCGCCCGCCGGAGGAACCAACCAAACUCUUUCUGUAGUCCCCUCGCGGACGUUAUUUCUUACAGCUCUGAGCAAAAAUUCAAAAUGAAUCAAAACUUUCAACAACGGAUCUCUUGGUUCUG